rnacentral:tRNA from 1 species
AGCUCAGUUGGUUAGAGCACCUGACUGUUAAUCAGGGGGUCGUUGGUUCAAGCCCAUCCUGAA